CUCGGGACCUCCAGAAGGCGGGAGAAGUGCACAGGAAAACCACAGGUGGCUACGCAGAGCACUUAUCAUAGUAAAGAGGCACACCUCGAUUGCUUUCUGGCCUUAUGGAAGAGUUGAAGCCUACACAAUAACUUGGGCAAAGUGCACAGGAGGAUCAGACAGAGCAUCCAGAAAGGAGCGGGACCGAAACAGAAAUGGGCAUGCUUCACAAUUGGAUCAGCUAAACUCAGAGAAAGUUUUAUCAGUGCAAGAUUCACUAAGGGAAAAUGACUGGAGCUUCCCUGGGCAACCCCCCCCCCCC